rnacentral:lncRNA from 1 species
AGGAAGUCUUUUCUUUCAAUUCUGUCACUUUCUAUAUUUUUGAAUUUCCCACCCUAAUGUAUGUACUGUUUUAUAAUUAUUUAAAAUAGGAUUCUUUGCCAGGAGUGGUCCCUUAAACCUGCGAUCCUGGCAUUUUGGGAGGCCACUGAGGAGGAUUGCUGGAGACCAGGAAUUCAAGGCCAUCUGGGCAACAUGUUUCAGGAAGCUCUAAUCAUGUGGAAGGCAGAAGGAAGGCUGGCAUAUCACGUGGGAAGAGAAACAGCAAGAUGCCAUAGACUUUUAAACAGUCAGAUCUCGUGAGAAGUCAUUCACUAUUGCAAAAGGAUGGUGGUAAAUUAUUCAUGAGAAAUCUACACCCAUGACCUGAUCAUUUCCCACCAGGCUCAACUUCCAAUACUGGAGAUUACAAUUCAGUAUGAGGUUUGAGUGAGAAUACAUAUCCAAACUAUAUCACCCCAUUCCUACAAAAAAUUUCUUGAAUAC